rnacentral:lncRNA from 1 species
ACUGAGUCAGUGGAGAACAGGUCUGGUAGAAUUCCCUUUAACAAAGUCAGGAAGGCUUGGAUGGAAUAGAGCCUGGAGUGUCAGCCCUGAGGAGCAGAGAAUGACCUUCAUGGCAUGUGGCUGUACAUGCAAAGGCCCUGGGGCAGGACCGAGAUCCUGGCCAAGGUCUAAGAGCUGAUACAAGGCCUGUGUGUCUACAGCAGAGACAGCAGCUCUGACUGACAGAGAUGACAGUUGCAUAACUUCCCAAGCUUUGGGCUCGGUUCUUCCGGUUUUGUCCCUUCCGCAGGAAGGGCAGUGAAGGAUUCUGGGCGCUGAGGUCAUCAGGUUCUGGCCUUGCUCUUCCCUGGGGGCCCAGCAACCUCACCAUGCUGCAUGACAGCCCCAGGAGCUCGCCAGGGGACUCUCCUGCCCUCACUGUACUCGGGGCCAAAGCACCAACCGCUGAGCUGUAACGGCUGCACAGGCAGAGGCAGCCGUGACCCAGAGCCAGGAGACUCUAGCAGCCUUGCGGGGGUUAUGAGCGCCUUUGCUCCUCCUGAGGACCCCAGGAAGUAAGUGCUGCACUGAGCCCAGGGACCACCUGAAGGAUGGAGAGUUGGAGACGGGAGAGGCUGCUGCAGGGUUGGGAGCCUGGGCCGGGGCAGAAGCCAGCCUGUCCCUCCAGCAUGAGGCAGGGCAAAAGAGUGACCGAGUCCCUAGCUCUGUGACCUGUCCAGGAAGGUCACCUGCACCCCCAGGCAGCUGGGCACCUUCUCGUGAGGAAGCUGCCGUCACCCCUGGCCGGUGUGCACUGUGACCGCUGUAAUAUUCAUGCAACACGAC